CCUUGUCCUAGCAAAAAGAGUAAUUGUGUGCGUGUCUUCUAUGAAAAUGCUUGCUUUUCUUGCUGGUAAUAAGGGUCCAUAUAUUAUUAUAGCAAAAGCGAGUGUGUGUGUGAUUCAUUUUGGUACAGCCAACCACUUCUAGAACCUUAAAGUGAAAUUUCUCCCAAAACAAGAGGGAAGCCCCGCCCCCUCCCAGCGGCGUCUCUUCACAGAUUCUGACGGAGCGGCGGCGCCAGCAUCACAAUGCCUCCAAGCUCCACCAUCCUCCUGCUCAUCUUCCUCCCAUAUCCAGCCGAGCUCGUGACAUUUCAGCCGUCUCGUCCAAGAAUAGUCAAAGACAAGGAACGGGUGGAACUUGACUGCCGUCAUGACGACGACUCCAUGAACGUGAUGCUCUGGUACCAGCAGACCUUCAACGGUCUCAUCAACUUAAUCGGGUACAGCUACGUUGGUUCUGAUCCAAACUAUGAGAAAGGACUGGAGUCUCGGUUUAAGAUCACGAGGAAAGACGCGAGAACGGGAGGACUGAUCAUCGCCAGCGCGGAUGCGUCAGCCUCAGCUGUUUUCUUCUGCGCCGCCAGCACACAGUGA